rnacentral:ncRNA from 1 species
CACCGAUAAAGGCAAAUUUAGCGAAAGCUAAAGACGCAAAACUAAAGGGUCUUCCUUAGUAGAAUUCUACUAAAAAGACAGCCAGUUACCGAA